rnacentral:rRNA from 1 species
UACAGAGGGUGCGAGCGUUAAUCGGAAUUACUGGGCGUAAAGGGCUCGUAGGCGGCCAACUAAGUCCGACGUGAAAUCCCAAGGCUUAACCUUGGAACUGCGUCGGAUACUGGAUGGCUUGAAUUCGGGAGAGGGAUGCAGAAUUCCAGGUGUAGCGGUGAAAUGCGUAGAUAUCUGGAGGAAUACCGGUGGCGAAGGCGGCAUCCUGGACCGACAUUGACGCUGAGGAGCGAAAGCUAGGGGAGCAAACGGG